UGCCGCGGUCGGCACGGCGGUGCUGGUGAACCUGCCGUUCGCGGUGGCGGGGUUCGGCGGGUGGCUGGCGUCGUUCGAGUUCCAGGCGCGGCGGC
rnacentral:tRNA from 1 species